AGGGGUGUCGUAUAGUGGUAAUACAUUCGCCUCCAAAGCGACCAACGAGGGUUCGAUUCCUUCCACCCCUG
rfam:Planctomycetes bacterium RIFCSPHIGHO2_12_39_6 rifcsphigho2_12_sub10_scaffold_27116, whole genome shotgun sequence.